rnacentral:tRNA from 1 species
AAGGAUUUAAGUUAAAAUAAACUUGUAGUCUUCAAAACUAUUAAUAAAGGUAUUCUUUAAGCCUUA